ensembl:lncRNA
CCAUUGUGCGGUCAGAAAGCAAUGAUAUAGUUGCCAUCACAGAAACAUGGUGGAAUGACUCACACAGCUGGAGUUCUGUGAUGGAUGGCUACCAACUUUUCAAAAGACAUAGGCAGGGCAGGAAAGGCAGUGGUGUAGGCCUCUAUGUUAAGAAAGAAUGUGAAUGUGAAUGUAUGGAAAUUAAUGAUGGUGAUGAUAGGGUGGAGAGCUUAUGGGUCAGAAUAAAAGCAAAGGCUAAUAAGUCUGACAUUACUGUGGGAGUCUGCUAUAGGCCACCCAACCAGGAGGAAGAGGUGGACAAGACACUUUAUAGACAGUUGGGUGAGGUCUCAAGGUCUCAAGGUCUCUCCCCCUAGUUCUUGUGGGGGACUUCAACUUCCUAGACAUCUGCUGGAUUUAUAAUACAGCAGAUAGGGAACAGUUCCAGAGGUUCCUAGAGUGUGUGGGAAAUAACUUCCUGACACAGCUGGUGAGGGAGCCAAUGAGGGGAAGCAAAAUCUUGGACCUGCUGUUUGUUAACAGAGAAGGUCUUGUGGGGGAUGUAAAGGUUGGAGGCCAUCUGGGACAUAGUGAUCACGAGAUGCUAGAUUUCUUGAUCCUUGUUAAACCACUAAGGGGAGUCAGCAGAACGGCCACCUUGGACUUCUGGAGGGGAGACUUCAAUCUCUUUAGGACCGUGGUUGAGACGGUCCCUUGGGAGGUAGUUUUGGAGAGCAUAGGAGCCCGGGAAGGCUGGGAAUACUUUAAGGAAGUAAUUUUAAAGGUGCAGGAGCUGACCAUGCCCAAGUCAGACCAUCCCCAAGGAAAAUAAGUCAACAGGCAAGAAGGCCAGACUAGUCGAACAGAGACCUUUGGCUGGAUCUCAAGAGCAAAAGGAAAGUUUAUGGUCUUUGGAAGAGUGGGCAAGCUACUCAUGAUAAUUACAGGUAAGUAGUGAAGCUGUGCAAGGAGAAAAUUAGAAAAGCCAAAACCCAGCUAAAACUGAACUUGGCCACUGAGGUAAAGGGCAACAACAAAUAUUACUAUAAGUAUACCAACAGCAAGAGGGGGGCUAGGGAGAACCUCCAUCCCUUGUUG